AGAGUUUGAUCCUGGCUCAGGAUGAACGCUAGCUACAGGCUUAACACAUGCAAGUCGAGGGGAAACGGCGUUGGGUGCUUGCAUCCUUCGGACGUCGACCGGCGCACGGGUGAAGUAACGCGUAUCCAACCUGCCCCGGCCUGCGGGAUAACCCGUCGAAAGACGGACUAAUACCGCAUGGGGUUCCCUGAGGGCAUCUGACGGGAACUAAAGAUUGAUCGGACCGGGAUGGGGAUGCGUCUGAUUAGCUCGUUGGCGGGGUAACGGCCCACCAAGGCAACGAUCAGUAGGGUUCUGAGAGGAAGGUCCCCCACAUAGGAACUGAGACACGGUCCUAACUCCUACGGGAGGCAGCAGUGAGGAAUAUUGGUCAAUGGGCGGGAGCCUGAACCAGCCAAAGUAGCGUGCAGGAAGACGGCCCUAUGGGUUGUAAACUGCUUUUAUGCGGGGAUAAAGUGGGCCACGCGUGGCUUAUUGCAGGUACCGCAUGAAUAAGACCGGCUAAUUCCGUGCCAGCAGCCGCGGUAAUACGGAAGGUCCGGGCGUUAUCCGGAUUUAUUGGGUUUAAAGGGGAGUGUAGGCGGCCUGUCAAGCGUGUUGUGAAAUGCGGAUGCUCAACAUCCGCACUGCAGCGCGAACUGGCUGGCUUGAGUGCACGCAACGUAGGCGGAAUUCAUGGUGUAGCGGUGAAAUGCUUAGAUAUCAUGAGGAACUCCGAUCGCGAAGGCAGCUUACGGGAGUGCGACUGACGCUAAAGCUCGAAGGUGCGGGUAUCGAACAGGAUUAGAUACCCUGGUAGUCCGCACGGUAAACGAUGGAUGCCCGCUGUCGGUGUUUGCUCCGGCGGCCAAGCGAAAGCGUUAAGCAUCCCACCUGGGGAGUACGCCGGCAACGGUGAAACUCAAAGAAUUGACGGGGGCCCGCACAAGCGGAGGAACAUGUGGUUUAAUUCGAUGAUACGCGAGGAACCUUACCCGGGCUUGAAUUGCAGAUGAAGGAUCCAGAGAUGGUGACGCCCCUCGGGGCAUCUGUGAAGGUGCUGCAUGGUUGUCGUCAGCUCGUGCCGUGAGGUGUCGGCUUAAGUGCCAUAACGAGCGCAACCCCUCUCCCAGUUGCCAUCGGGUUAUGCCGGGCACUCUGGGGACAUGCCGCCGCAAGGUGCGAGGAAGGUUGGGAUGACGUCAAAUCAGCACGGCCUUACGUCCGGGCUACACACGUGUUACAAUGGCCGGUACAGAAAGUCGGUGGCGCG
rnacentral:rRNA from 1 species